rnacentral:rRNA from 1 species
UACGGAGGGGGCUAGCGUUGUUCGGAAUUACUGGGCGUAAAGCGCACGUAGGCGGACCAGAAAGUUGGGGGUGAAAUCCCGGGGCUCAACCUCGGAACUGCCUUCAAAACUACUGGUCUUGAGUUCGAGAGAGGUGAGUGGAAUUCCGAGUGUAGAGGUGAAAUUCGUAGAUAUUCGGAGGAACACCAGUGGCGAAGGCGGCUCACUGGCUCGAUACUGACGCUGAGGUGCGAAAGCGUGGGGAGCAAACAGG